UGUUUAUUUCUAGAACUAGAAGUCAAGGCAAUCAAUAGUGACGAAGCAGCUGCUUCAGGAGAAAUGUCAAACUCUAUGCUCUUUAAAAAUGUUAACGUAAAGUUUUAAAAUCUGUGAACUCUUUUCAACACCUUCACUUUUCUGAAAUCCAAAAUUACGAGUAUGAAAAAAGAACACAGUGCAACUCAGUGAAAUCCAUAGACGCUUACUGGCACAGCUUCCAUUUGCACCAGAAAAUGAAGCAGAACUGGCCGGAUGCACAACUAGGUCUUUGCAGAGGCAUCUGAAAUCCACAGCCUGUGUCUGCACAGCUUCCCGGCACACGGUCCUCGGUGGUAAGCCGUGGUCAUCAAGAGCCUGGCCUAGGUCCUCACCAUCCUGCAAAGCUUAAAUUCAUUUCACACCUGCUUUUGAAACUGGAAAUACUGCCAACUUAUUUUCUCAGAUUGAUUUGGCAAAAAUUCCAGCAUACAGUACAAAAUUAUGGAUCAGAUGAAAUGCAGUUCUCAAAUUCAUUGGACAUCUGGAAUCAGUAAAAAAAUGUGAUAUCUCCUUCAGAAAGGACCCUGAUGCCUUCAGAGGACCAGGGCAGCACAGACUAGGAAGGAGAAGCUGUGCUCCCAGGAUUGGCCGGCCUGGGGCCAUCUCCCCUCAGGAACAUUCCUAGACAGGUAACGCUCUCCAAGCCCAAAACUACAACAGCUUUGCUACUGUCUCUCAGAAAACCAUUCUACAAGCUAACUGCCUUUGGUAUGGAGACGUAUUCCCGGGCUGAACUGCAAGGGUGAUGUUGAAAACUCAGUGCGGUGCAAUGUGUGUAGAAACAAGCUGCUCAGGAGGGGCAGGAAAGAGGCGGCAGAGGAUUGUGCUUUACUAGUGGUGUGGGAUGGUUGUUCAAGCAACUAACCUUUUGGGGUUUUUUCUUCGAGUUUUAGAAAAGACAAUUUGGGCACUUUAAAUAACCACAGCAGUGCUAUGUUCACACUGUAAGUAGGAAGUACAAAUAAUGGAAACAUAGACAUUUCCCUCACCAUUAAUUCCAGUUUUGUCUUUCAUGUACUAGAAAGACUGUAUAAGGUAGUGGUUAAGAGCUUGCAUCCAGGCUUGACUGCCUGAAUCCCAGCUCUGCCACUGAUUAACUAGGUGAUCUUGGGUAGAUUACAAGCUUUCCAUGCCUGGGCUUCUUUAUCUGUAACCUGGGAAUGACUGUCUGUAUCACAGGGCUGUUAAAAGAUUUAGUGAAUUAACAUAGGUAGACCAUUUAAAGCAGUAAGCACCAUUUAAGCAUUAGUUAUAAUUAUUUGUGAGCUUUCACAUACAUUUACUGAAGGAAGUUUUAUUGGAAUCUCGAGAUGACUAAAUCAAUAUGUACUUCCAUACUAUGUUUUUGCAGACCAAAGUAUCUGCUUUAAAAGGUCAUUUAUCUAUCUCAUUAAAAGAUGAUAGCACUAUUAGUUAAAAGUAAUUUAGACUAUUAUAUUAGAAGUAGUCUUUGUUCUGUGCAAACAUCCCAAAAUGUACAUUAUUUUAAGGUUCUACAAUUUAUUUAACAAAUAUUUAUUGAGCACCUACCCUGUGUAAGGCAAUUGUUCUAGAAUGGGGUUGAUGGGUAUGUGUGUGUAUGUUUGUGCAAAAUCCUUCCUUACAUGGAGCUUUGUAUCCUUUCAAGAGGACAUGGACAGUAAAGAAACAAAUAGAUGAUAUGUCAGGUGGUGACAAGUUCUAUGAAGAAAUAUAAAGCAGAGUCAGGGUAGAGACUGAUGGAGAGUGGCGCCCAUAAGGAAGGUCUCUCUGAUAAGGUCACACUUGGGAAAUGACCUGAAGAAGUGAGUGAAUCAGCCAUGUAAAUAUUUGAGAAAAGGGGUUUCCAGGAAGAAGGUACAGCAAGUGCAAAGGCCCUGAGGUGGGAGAGUGCUUGUUAUAUGUAAGGAAUGGCAAUGUGGAAUUCAAACCUAGGAAGUCUGUCUCCAGAACCUGCAUUCCAUAGUCCCACAUUAUCUUCUGCACUUUCCUCCAUAAACUCUCUGCUUCAGACAGGAAGAUUAUGUGAAAAAAUGGUCAUCUGAGUUAAAUAUAAGUUAUAUAAUCUUACAUUUAUGUGUUCCAUUGACUUAUACAUGAAUUCCAAAGAAUCAGCAUGAACAACAAAUUUAACUUUUCCUUUUCAAAAGUAGCUCAGAGUAGGAAGCAAAAUACAUUAAAUUCAGAGCAGCAACGAGGACAUUCUGAAAUGUUCCUUAGCCUAGAAAGACCCUUGGUGUAGGGUUUUUGUGAAAAUUUUGCAUGUCUAAGUCUUUUUCUGGGGCAAGUGCUGGGUCCCUGAACCCAGUAAAACUUGAGAAUAAGCACGUCAGUGAACAGUGUUUCAGAACUCAGAAAUAUUUUUGUUUUUUUAAAAAAAAUCACAAAGGAACAAAAAUGUAACAGAAAAAUAGACGUUUUUGAUUAUCUUAAUUUGAAAAUUGAAAUAUAAAGGAAAACAAUUGCUUUUAUUUAUUCAUUUUUAAGGUUUUGUGGAUAGGGCACCAUUUAGAAAAUUACUAAUUAGCGGAAUCAAAGCCGAGGAGUUAAGUCUGGAAGAGUUUAUUUUGAGGGCAACUUGUAAACAGUAGCAGGUGACUUCACAGAAAAGCAGCCACCUGGCUAGAGCAAGAUUUGGAGGAACACGCACAAGUGAGUAUUAUAAGCUUUCUAUUUUGGAGGCAGAGCCAGAAAUUCUGGGUAAAGAGAAUCUAAAUCAGUGGUUCUAAACUAAGAAAGUGUGUUAUUCUGGGUCUGCUGAGAAUCAGCCUCCAAGAUGGGAUUAGAAGGCAAAGGAUUUUAUUAAGGGAAACAUCUGUGCGAGAGAAAACGGGGAGAAAGGCAGACGGGCUGGGAGCCCGUCCAACUGCUGCGGGUCUGACUGAGGGAAGGAGCCAGGAGGAAGGCUGGGCAGCCGUCCCAGGGCGCCCACAGCCUGAGGGAGCUUCAGCGCGGCCGCCAGAGUCCCGGAGCCGCGUCCCGCGCUGGAGCAGGCCUGUCUCCAGGCCCGGCCCGUCGUGGUGCCCGGCGUCCCUGCAGCCCUCGCUCGUUGGCUGGGACCAGCCUCCCCGCAAGCCCGGGGAUGGAGCUCAGCGCGGGGCCCUCCGUCAGUUGCGCCACGGGUGACGGCGGAGAGGCGCGGUCUCGUGGCCACAGAGGAGGACGCCUGUCACAGCAUGGCGCGAUGAGCAGUGCGUAGGUCCGAGCCUGGGAUCUGACCCAGAGAACCCCAGGCGCCAAAGCCGAGAGGGCGAACUUGACCCCUGCAGCAGCCACCGGGCCGUCCCCCACCCCCCUUCUUGAGCGAGGAUGUCCAUCUUCUGCCCUCAGCUCAGAGCUCCUGGUUCUCGGCCUUCAGACUCCGGGCAU